UCUUGGUUGUUAUUACUUUUGACAUCUGAUUCUAACCCAUCACCAAGGUGACAAGGAGGAGGAAUCCUUCGUAGAAAUCCUCCUUCAAUGAAGCGAAUUUUAGGAGAGAUGAUGUUCUUCCAAAUUGCUCUCAUUCCCCGAUCUCUCGUCUCACACACCUAAAAGAGCCCUAACCCUAUGUCUGAUGUCACCCCGUAUAUAUAUAACUAGGAUAUGAGUAUGACCCGUAACUUUCCCGGUAUACGGUUUAGGGAUUCCAAACCCGUAAAUAUGGGUUAUACCCUACCGUUACGUAGAGGAUAUCAACAUCAUGUUGGGCUAAUUUGAGAGAUUAAAACCGCCAGUCAAUCUUCAUAAGCUUGGGAACUGAUGCCUACCGCUCAAGGAGCUUCGACCAAAACCGCAACAAGUUUUGUAAGGUUCCCGGUGGUAAUGACGCAUUCUGGUUUUGGUGGACUUUUUCCUAAUGAAAUAUAAUAUGAGUGCGCUUCAACCAUUGGUUUGAAGAGGGGGUGUAAAAUUAAUUAAGGAUGCCAGUGUUUGUAAUCAUGUCAUGCCAGAAGCAUUAAAGAUUGCUACUACUUACCAGUCUCACAAUGAAAGAUACAGCUGCAAGGUAUCAACUCUGACAAUGAAAGAUCAACUUAUUUCGAGCUUAAGAGAAGACUAGGCACACGACCACCUUAACUGGAGACGUGAAGUUCUCUUUCUCCAUCUAAUCUUGAUUUGAUGUAAACAGACGAUAGUCUCAAUUGGCUUAUUCGAUGCGAACUCUCUUCAUUUUUGAGUUAACCCGAUCAGAGGAAGGCUCAAUCAGUUGGUUUGGUAGCUGUACGAGUGAAACUGCGCAUUGUUCGGACACCGAACUUCUGCACUAUUAACUGGUUCGUGCGAAUUACUAAUUAGGCUAUGAGUCAAAAGCAUAUAUAGAUUUUUAACAAUUAGUUAUUUUCCAACAUAUUUGAUCCUCUUUUGAAUUUUCAUAUAUAUCACCAGGGAAUAUUAGGAUAUACUAUCUUUGUUAUGUUCAAACACUACACAUUAAUAUGUUCUUCAUAGUUGUCUCAACCUCACUCGGGACUCAGGA